GCGAGGCGGAUUGGAAUGUGGGCCCGAGUGAAAAGGUCUUUUCUGCUGCCUUUCAGAUAACAUUUACACAUUUACAUUUAAACGUCUUAAUUCACGGAUCAAAGUGCAGUUUGCCCGAGGAAACGCCGGCUGAAUGAGCGGAGCGGGUCUCUCGGCUGUUACUCGGGCCUGCUUCUUUUAGAAGUUCAAGCAACCUUUGGCUCGGUGCCACGCGGUGAUAUCAAGCUGCUUCCCAGCCGUGGUUGGAGGGGGGAGGCCUGGCCUACAUGAGGCACAGCAUGCCGCCACUGAUGCCCCUCUGAUUAGGUGUCCUGUCCGCCCCGGGGAUGCGUGCGAUGACAGCCGGGAGCACGGCGAUGGCUGGGAAGCCGACAGAGACGUCCGUUAAAUGGCAGCUUUGUUAUGACGCGUCCGCGAGGACGUGGUGGAUGGUAAGCAGGAACUCUU